AGACGGAGGGCACAAGCGUUGUUCGGAAUUACUGGGCGUAAAGCGCGGGCAGGUGGUCUGUUAAGUCGUUUGUGAAAAUCCGGGGCUCAACCCCGCGAAAUGCAAGCGAUACUGGCAGACUGGAGAUCGGUAGAGGCUAGCGGAAUUCCUGGUGUAGCGGUGGAAUGCGUAGAUAUCAGGAAGAACACCAGUGGCGAAGGCGGCUAGCUGGGCCGAGUCUGACACUCAUCCGCGAAAGCGUGGGGAGCAAACAGGAUUAGAUACCCCAGUAGUCC
rnacentral:rRNA from 1 species